AGACUCUUCCCUGAGUAGUUCAGGCAGAGGACACUGAGCUGCAUAUAGCCCAGCUCUGUUGUGUGCUGUAUGAGUCAGUGCUGCUCCUGAAUGUCUCCAAGAUGCAUGCAUAUCUUCUUGCUAUUCCCAGGGCACAAACAGCAUGGAGAAGCUUAGUAAUGUUUUUAAUUAUUUUAUAUUUUUCCACAGAAAUCUCUUCUGAAUAGUCUGUCCACCUCAAGCAUACUGCUCCACAGUGCUCUUACGCAGUCCUGGGAGAGCAGCAGAGCAAAUGACAUCACUGCCAAGCUCAUCAGUGCUGCCAACUUGUGCCAAGAUUGUCUGAAAGGGAGGCAUCUAGAGUGAAGUUACUUUCCAUAAAAAAACGGCAGAGAACAGGGUGCCACCAGGGGAUGAACCUCACCCUCAAGAAGAGUUCUGCUGCAGCUGGCACACUCCAUUCUCUGAAGAUUGCUAUACUGAUGAUGGAGGAAGCAGAAGGCAGUGUUUUAGAUCAAACCUCCAACCUUUAAAAUCAGAACCAUUUCUGAGCCAGGACAGCCCUGGAGAUGACAAGGAGAGGAACAUAGCAGGCUGGAGAGAGGCUUGCCUGGUGAGAGCAGAGCUGUAGUAGCCCUGGGGCUGUCAAGCAUGGCUCUGGCUCCAGACGUCAGGCACUAUAUAGUGAGUAUGAUUUCCCAUGCAGUUAUGGUGUCCAAUACAUAUCUUAAUGUAAAAUGAAGCACAGCUCAGCAGUGCUCUGAGGGUAAAGAAGAGUUGCUCCUCAGUGUUUAUUCUCAGUGUCUGCACAAAUUUGUAGUGAAAUAUAACUGUAGAAAAAAGGCCCUACUGAUUUGAACAUGAGGAAUAUAAAAUUUCAGUCUUUCUCUGGAAUUAUCAAGGGGAAUGGAAAAGAAAUAAUUUUCCUAUUCUGAAGUACUGAUUGAUCACCAAAAAACUAAAUUCAGAUCCAUAAGGUCUUUCACGUGUUUGGCAAUCUAAGACCUACCAAAACUUCCCAGAAGUCAGUGAUUAGAGACCAAAAUGACUUUGCAGAUUUGGUUUCUGUAUUGGUGUCUAACUUUUACUGU
rnacentral:lncRNA from 1 species